ACUUAUCAACUUCAUGCCUUGU
rnacentral:miRNA from 1 species